rnacentral:rRNA from 1 species
UUCCAGACUCCUACGGGAGGCAGCAGUGGGGAAUAUUGCACAAUGGGGGAAACCCUGAUGCAGCGACGCCGCGUGAGUGAAGAAGUAUUUCGUUAUGUAAAGCUCUAUCAGCAGGGAAGAAAAUGACGGUACCUGAGUAAGAAGCCCCGGCUAACUACGUGCCAGCAGCCGCGGUAAUACGUAGGGGGCAAGCGUUAUCCGGAUUUACUGGGUGUAAAGGGAGCGUAGACGGCAGUGCAAGUCUGGAGUGAAAGGCGGGGGCUCAACCCCCGGACUGCUCUGGAAACUGUACGGCUGGAGUGCAGGAGAGGUAAGUGGAAUUCCUAGUGUAGCGGUGAAAUGCGUAGAUAUUAGGAGGAACACCAGUGGCGAAGGCGGCCUGCUGGGCUUUAACUGACGCUGAGGCUCGAAAGCGUGGGGGGCAAACAGGAUUAGAUACCCCAGUA